rnacentral:rRNA from 1 species
UAGGGAUNUCGGCAANGGGGGGAACCCUGACCGAGCAACGCCGCGUGAGUGAAGAAGGUUUUCGGAUCGUAAAGCUCUGUUGUUAAGGAAGAACGUGUGUGAGAGUGGAAAGUUCGCACAGUGACGGUACUUAACCAGAAAGGGACGGCUAACUACGUGCCAGCAGCCGCGGUAAUACGUAGGUCUCGAGCGUUGUCCGGAUUUAUUGGGCGUAAAGCGAGCGCAGGCGGUUAGAUAAGUCUGAAGUGAAAGGCAGUGGCUCAACCAUUGUAGGCUUUGGAAACUGUUUAACUUGAGUGCAGAAGGGGAGAGUGGAAUUCCAUGUGUAGCGGUGAAAUGCGUAGAUAUAUGGAGGAACACCGGUGGCGAAAGCGGCUCUCUGGUCUGUAACUGACGCUGAGGCUCGAAAGCGUGGGGAGCGAACAGGAUUAGAUACCCUGGUAGUCCACGCCGUAAACGAUGAGUGCUAGGUGUUAGGUCCUUUCCGGGACUUAGUGCCGCAGCUAACGCGUUAAGCACUCCGCCUGGGGAGUACGAACGCAAGGUUG